AUUGGACGCUGGCGGCAGGCCUAACACAUGCAAGUCGAGCGGAUGAAGGGAGCUUGCUCCUGGAUUCAGCGGCGGACGGGUGAGUAAUGCCUAGGAAUCUGCCUGGUAGUGGGGGAUAACGUCCGGAAACGGGCGCUAAUACCGCAUACGUCCUGAGGGAGAAAGUGGGGGAGCUUCGGACCUCACGCUAUCAGAUGAGCCUAGGUCGGAUUAGCUAGUUGGUGGGGUAAAGGCCUACCAAGGCGACGAUCCGUAACUGGUCUGAGAGGAUGAUCAGUCACACUGGAACUGAGACACGGUCCAGACUCAUACGGGAGGAAGCAGUGGGGAAUAUUGGACAAUGGGCGAAAGCCUGAUCCAGCCAUGCCGCGUGUGUGAAGAAGGUCUUCGGAUUGUAAAGCACUUUAAGUUGGGAGGAAGGGCAGUAAGUUAAUACCUUGCUGUUUUGACGUUACCAACAGAAUAAGCACCGGCUAACUUCGUG
rnacentral:rRNA from 1 species